UACGUAGGGGGCAAGCGUUUGUCCGGAUUUAUUGGGCGUAAAGAGCGUGUAGGCGGCCAAGCAGGUCCGCUGUGAAAACUCGAGGCUCAACCUCGAGACGUCGGUGGAAACCGUUUGGCUAGAGUCCGGAAGAGGAGAGUGGAAUUCCGGGGUGAUAGCGGUGGAAUGCGUAGAGAUCCGGAAGAACACCGGUGGCGAAGGCGGUUAGCUGGGGUCGGACUGGACGCUGAGGCGCGACAGCGUGGGGAGCAAACAGG
rnacentral:rRNA from 1 species